UUAGGCAUGACGAAGAAAAUCGUUCGGAUUCCCAUUGAUUUGUAACAAAUAUGAGAUCUCAAACCAGCUACUUCUGACCCAA